CAUGAUUGGUUGGACUGUAA
rnacentral:siRNA from 1 species